AAAUUGAAGAGUUUGAUCAUGGCUCAGAUUGAACGCUGGCGGCAGGCCUAACACAUGCAAGUCGAGCGGUAGCACAGAGAGCUUGCUCUCGGGUGACGAGCGGCGGACGGGUGAGUAAUGUCUGGGAAACUGCCUGAUGGAGGGGAUAACUACUGGAAACGGUAGCUAAUACCGCAUAACGUCGCAAGACCAAAGUGGGGGACCUUCGGGCCUCAUGCCAUCAGAUGUGCCCAGAUGGGAUUAGCUAGUAGGUGGGGUAACGGCUCACCUAGGCGACGAUCCCUAGCUGGUCUGAGAGGAUGACCAGCCACACUGGAACUGAGACACGGUCCAGACUCCUACGGGAGGCAGCAGUGGGGAAUAUUGCACAAUGGGCGCAAGCCUGAUGCAGCCAUGCCGCGUGUGUGAAGAAGGCCUUCGGGUUGUAAAGCACUUUCAGCGGGGAGGAAGGCGAUAAGGUUAAUAACCUUGUCGAUUGACGUUACCCGCAGAAGAAGCACCGGCUAACUCCGUGCCAGCAGCCGCGGUAAUACGGAGGGUGCAAGCGUUAAUCGGAAUUACUGGGCGUAAAGCGCACGCAGGCGGUCUGUCAAGUCGGAUGUGAAAUCCCCGGGCUUAACCUGGGAACUGCAUUCGAAACUGGCAGGCUAGAGUCUUGUAGAGGGGGGGUAGAAUUCCAGGUGUAGCGGUGAAAUGCGUAGAGAUCUGGAGGAAUACCGGUGGCGAAGGCGGCCCCCUGGACAAAGACUGACGCUCAGGUGCGAAAGCGUGGGGAGCAAACAGGAUUAGAUACCCUGGUAGUCCACGCCGUAAACGAUGUCGAUUUGGAGGUUGUGCCCUUGAGGCGUGGCUUCCGGAGCUAACGCGUUAAAUCGACCGCCUGGGGAGUACGGCCGCAAGGUUAAAACUCAAAUGAAUUGACGGGGGCCCGCACAAGCGGUGGAGCAUGUGGUUUAAUUCGAUGCAACGCGAAGAACCUUACCUGGUCUUGACAUCCACAGAACUUUCCAGAGAUGGAUUGGUGCCUUCGGGAACUGUGAGACAGGUGCUGCAUGGCUGUCGUCAGCUCGUGUUGUGAAAUGUUGGGUUAAGUCCCGCAACGAGCGCAACCCUUAUCCUUUGUUGCCAGCGGUUCGGCCGGGAACUCAAAGGAGACUGCCAGUGAUAAACUGGAGGAAGGUGGGGAUGACGUCAAGUCAUCAUGGCCCUUACGACCAGGGCUACACACGUGCUACAAUGGCAUAUACAAAGAGAAGCGACCUCGCGAGAGCAAGCGGACCUCAUAAAGUAUGUCGUAGUCCGGAUUGGAGUCUGCAACUCGACUCCAUGAAGUCGGAAUCGCUAGUAAUCGUAGAUCAGAAUGCUACGGUGAAUACGUUCCCGGGCCUUGUACACACCGCCCGUCACACCAUGGGAGUGGGUUGCAAAAGAAGUAGGUAGCUUAACCUUCGGGAGGGCGCUUACCACUUUGUGAUUCAUGACUGGGGUGAAGUCGUAACAAGGUAACCGUAGGGGAACCUGCGGUUGGAUCACCUCCUUA
rnacentral:rRNA from 1 species